AUUUAAGUAGUUUAAAAAUAAAAUUUUGAUUUGUGAUAUCAAGAAUGUAAGUAUUUACCUUAAAUU
rnacentral:tRNA from 1 species